UACGAAGGGGGCUAGCGUUGCUCGGAAUUACUGGGCGUAAAGCGCACGUAGGCGGACUAUUAAGUCAGGGGUGAAAUCCCGGGGCUCAACCCCGGAACUGCCUUUGAUACUGGUAGUCUCGAGUCCGGAAGAGGUGAGUGGAAUUCCGAGUGUAGAGGUGAAAUUCGUAGAUAUUCGGAGGAACACCAGUGGCGAAGGCGGCUCACUGGUCCGGUACUGACGCUGAGGUGCGAAAGCCAGGGGAGCAAACGGG
rnacentral:rRNA from 1 species